AUCCCAGGACCCCGGGACCAUGACCUGAGCUGAAGGCAGACGCUGAACCAACUGAGCCACCCAGGCGCCCUCUUCAUGAAUUUUCUGACCCAGAAAAUGGAAGGUUGUCAGUUGAACUUGAUUCUGAUGAGGUGAUAGAUUGAGCAAGUGUCACCUAAUAGAAAAUAUGCAUAGAAAAUCUCAGAAAUUCCUAUAAUCACAUUCCCUACCUUGAGUUCAUUGUUCCCAGAUUUCUAUUAGAAAGGGACAUAGAGAAGAGUUAUUGCAUGUUUGGAAUAGAAAGUAAAUUUUAAAGAGUACAGCUUAAUACCUAACAUAGAGUAGAUGUGCUAGUCUUUGUAAAACAAAUAGUGUUGGAAUAAUCAAAUAUCCAUAUGUACACACAGAAAGAACCUCGAUUCCUACCUCACAUGGUUCAUAAAAAUUAACUCAAAAUGAGUCAUAGACCUCUAGUAGAAGAAUCAAAAAUAUAAAACUUCUAAAAGAAAAUAUUUAAAAAAUUUUUGUGGCUUUAAACAGAUUUUGAGAUAGGACAUAAAAACCAUGAACCAUAAAAGAAAACACUGAUGAAUUAAAUUUCAUCAAUACUGAAAACAUUUGCUCUUCCAAAAAACAUUAAAACAAUGAAAAGUCAAGCCACACAUUAGGAGAAAAUAUUUUCAAAACAUGUUUCUGAUAAAGGACUUGUACCCUGAAUAUAGAAAGAAUUCUUCUAACCCAAAAAGAAGACAAACAACUCCAUUUUCUUAAAUGGCCAGAAUAUUUGCUGAGUGGCAAAUAAACACAUAAAGAGAUGUUUAACAUCUUAAUCAUUUAGGAAAUGCUAAUUCAAACCACAACGAGAUACCACUCAUACCCAACAGUAUGGUUGAAAUGAAAAAGACUGAAAAUACCAAGUGCUGAGAAGAGGUUGAGUAACCGGAACUCUCUUGGAGUGAGAAUAAAAAGUUAAACAGCCACUUUGGAAAACAGUUGGGCUACUCCUUAUAAAGUUAAACAUUCACUUGCCAUGUGACCUAUGACCCCACUCCUAAAUAUUUACCAAGAAAAAUGAAAACACGCUCAUGCAAAUGGUUCUACAUGAACGUUAAUGAUCGCUUUCUUUGUGACAGCUGAAACUGGAAACAACCCGAAUGUCUAUCAAUCGGUAAACAGAUAAACUGUGGUCCAUCCAUCCAGAUGGCGGAAAACCACACGUGCAACAAUAUGGAGGAAUCUUGAAAGCCUUUGGUAAGUGAAAGAAGCCAGACACAGAAGACUCACUAUCACAUGAUUCCCUUUAUAUCUAAAAAUUAGAAAAGGCAAAAGUAAAAUGAUAGAAAACAGAUCGCUGCUUGCCGGGGUGGGGAAUAGGGAAGAGACUGAACACAAAGGAACGUGAAGAUGGAGAUGUUCUGUGUCACAAUUAUGGCGUUGGCAACACUAAUGAGUAUAUUUUUUAAGACUGCAUAAAGUUAGUGAAUUGUACUAUAUGUUAAUUCUACUUCAUAUCACUGAUUAACAAGAGCAGUGAGGCAUAGCGCUGAUUCUCAAAGGUGCUAUCAAGGCCUCUGCUUUCUUGGAAAAGCAGCUUCAGAAGAUAGGUUUUUCUCCUAGAGAAGAGCACCAGAAUACAUGUUCACCUUCCUUCCUGAAAGAAGCGUUUCAGUUUCCCUUGGCUAGCCUGGAGGCUGGGCGGGACCAUGGGCUCUGGCGCCAAACCGCUCCAGUCUGUGUCGCUCCUAGUCCACCUGGUAGCUGCGGGACUUUGGGCAAGUUCCUGAGCUCUGGGUGCAUCAGUGCCUCCAUCUGUGAAAAAGCAUAGUAAGAGAUCCAGGCUCAGAGGGUUGUUCAGAGUGGGACUAACGGGUCACCUUAGGAUUUCAGGCAGAGCACGUGCCAUCAUUAUUCAAUUAGGGGAACUUAAUAACGUACCCCAAAAUACAAACGAUUGGAAAAACGAGAAGCCGAUCUCAGAGUUUCCCGAAAUUGGAAUAAACUAGGAAGCAAUUCUUUCCCAGCUGUGCCAUCCACUUACUGGGAACAAAUUAACUGGAACGACAGAGCUUGUUUCAAUUUGCUGCAUGCGCUAGUUUUCUCCAGGGUCUGUGAGCAGGUCUGGAAACAAAGAAAGAGCUUCAAGAGCAAGCUUGACCAGGACCGCGUCGACAACCGUUAUGCUUGUCGGAGAUCUGAGCCACAGACAGGGAACAGAAACGAAUUCACACAGAGAGAAGGUAUUGCACUUUCCUCUUGCCUGGAGACAGAGGGAACGUGCCAUGACCUUCCUGCUGGUCGGGUCCACUCUCCUUCCGCGUUCGCCUGAAUGAAUCACUUGUUCCCCAGGGAAACAGAAGAAUGUUUUUCUUUCGGUCUUGAAGAUAUUUUAAACACAUGACAUAUCUUCAGGCUGAAAUUCAGUCCCUUGUUUGUCUUCAGGUAUAAAGAAUCUUAAAAAGGAAGUUCAGUAGCUAAAAAAUAUCUUUAACUUCCUUAAACUGGUCACAGAAUCCUAAACCUUAAGUCUAUAUUCACUCACUACCCAGAUACUGCUAUCUACCUGAAGUUUCCACAGGAAAAUAAAAAUCCAGCUUUCCCUAAUAGGAGUCACUUAAAAUGUGAUUUCUAGAAGAGAUCAGGAAAGUAUCAACAGAAUAGUCCACACUGGAUUUCCCUUAAAGGGAAAAAUUUCCAGAACAGAGAAAUGUUUCUGUCUGACCACUCUUCAUAGUUUCAUGCAGCUUUUACUGCUUAAGUGACCAUAAAGCCAUAUUUGGUUUUAAUCUUGAGAUUUAAUAAAUAUUUUUUCUAUUUAUUUCUGAA